CUGGAGGUGAUGAAUAUUUCCCCAGAUGAUCGAAGCUGAAAUUACUGAGCUUUUUAUGUAUUUUCUCUGUUCAGAGGAAAAUCCAAGCCAGAUAUUCUGAUCCGU
rnacentral:snoRNA from 2 species